UAUUCUAAUCAAGUAAUCCCAAGCGCAGGUGUAGAAAGUUAACAAAUCUAAUCAAGAACAGGUGAGAAAGAUUAAGGGAAACAGGUGAUGCCUGCCACGUGUAUACAGGGUAUAAUAUGCACAGAACAAAGGAAAUCCAUCCAGACAGUCCAAGUGAAUGCCGAGCGCAGGAAAGCGAGAAGGAAGCAAUGGCAUGAAGAGUAAGAGUUACGUGAGCGGUAUUAAUAAAUGGGUUGGUGAAGGGAAGGAGAUGGAGGGAAAGUUAAAAAAAAAAAAAA